rnacentral:lncRNA from 1 species
GGGGCCCUUCGCUCAUUUGGUCAGUCAAAUAUUUCCACAAAGAUCAUGAAGGGAUAUCGACAGAUGAAUAUUAUGAUUUUAGUAGUCCUGUAUUAUUCCAUCAGUUUAAGAGAGACUGUUUCUCGCUCCAUACAUGUUGCAUCCGUCAAGGUUGACCAGUGCAGAUUUGGCUAGUCAGACCAAGAUAGUUUCUUACUGUGAAAAUGUUGAUGUAUAAAGGUUGACGCUCCAUAGCAGCAAGCCAAGCCGGCCAGUCUGGUCCGGUUUACCGGUUUACUGCUUAAGCAGGUAGUACCAAUUUACCAGGACAAAGUAGAAAACCUAGACACAGACAUGGUUCUGGAAAAUGUCUGUGGAAAAGAAUUAAUUGAUUUACCUAUGAGAUAUUCUAAAAACUUUUGUAUGCUAAAAUGCACUUUCAAAAAUAAGGUUGGAAUGCUUAACCAGCAUAGAAGGACAGAGAAGAGUGCAAUUUGGUAUUCACCUAAAUAGGUGGGAAUACCUCCAAUACUUUUUGCAGCAAGCCAAGCCGGCCAGUCUGGUCCGGUUUACCAGUUUACUGCUUAAGCAGGUAGUACCAAUUUAACAGGACAAAGUAGAAAACCUAGACACAGACAUGGUUCUGGAAAAGGUCUGUGGAAAAUAAUUAAUUGAUUUACCUAUGAGACAUUCUAAAAACUUUUGUAUGCUAAAAUGCACUUUCAAAAAUAAGGUUGGAAUGCUU